GACGAACGCUGGCGGCGUGCCUAAUACAUGCAAGUAGAACGCAGUUGCGAACGGGUGAGUAACACGUAGGUAACUGCCUGGUAGCAGAGGAUAACUAUUGGAAACGAUAGCUAAUACCGCAUACUACCAGAUGGACCUUCGUUGUAUGCGCUAGUUGGUGGGGUAACGGCUCACCAAGGCAAAGAUACAUAGCCGACCUGAUAUGGUGAUCGGCCACACUGGGCAUGAGACACGGCCCAGACUCCCUCGGGAGGCAGCAGUAGGGAAUACUCGGCAAUGGGGGGAACCCUGACCGAGCAACGCCGCGUUAGGUAAGAAGGUUUUCGGAUCGUAAAGCUCUUGUGUUUAGGAAGCGGUAUUUAACCAGAAAGGGACGGCUAACUACGUGCCAGCAGCCGCGGUAAUAC
rnacentral:rRNA from 1 species